UACGUAGGGGGCAAGCGUUGUCCGGAAUCAUUGGGCGUAAAGCGCGUGUAGGCGGCUGGGUAAGUCCGCUCUGAAAGCCCGGGGCUCAACCCCGGGAGGCGGGUGGAUACUGCUCAGCUCGAGUCCGGAAGAGGAGUGUGGAAUUCCUGGUGUAGCGGUGAAAUGCGCAGAUAUCAGGAGGAACACCAAUGGCGAAGGCAGCACUCUGGGACGUGACUGACGCUGAGACGCGAAAAGCGUGGGGAGCAAACAGG
rnacentral:rRNA from 1 species